rnacentral:rRNA from 1 species
GCUAGUAAUCGCGGUAUCAGAAUGCCGCGGUGAAUACGUUCCCGGGUCUUGUACACACCGCCCGUCACACCAUGGGAGUCGGAAAUGCCCGAAGUCUGUGACCCAACCUUAGGGAGGGAGCAGCCGAAGGCAGGUCGGAUGACUGGGGUGAAGUCGUAACAAGGUACC